rnacentral:rRNA from 1 species
UGGGAUGACGUCAAGUCCUCAUGGCCUUUAUGCCUAGGGCUACACACGUGCUACAAUGGGUGGUACAAAGAGCAGCUAACUCGCGAGAGUAUGCAAAUCUCAAAAAGCCAUCCUCAGUUCGGAUUGGAGUCUGCAACUCGACUCCAUGAAGUUGGAAUCGCUAGUAAUCGCGGAUCAGCAUGCCGCGGUGAAUACGUUCCCGGGCCUU